rnacentral:rRNA from 1 species
UACGUAGGGUGCAAGCGUUGUCCGGAUUUAUUGGGCGUAAAGAGCUCGUAGGCGGUUUGUCGCGUCGACUGUGAAAGUCCGGGGCUCAACCCCGGGAGGCGGGCGGAUACUGUCGGGCUAGAGUCCGGAAGAGGCGAGUGGAAUUCCUGGUGUAGCGGUGAAAUGCGCAGAUAUCAGGAGGAACACCAAUGGCGAAGGCAGCUCGCUGGGACGGUACUGACGCUGAGGCGCGAAAGCGUGGGGAGCAAACAGG